AGAUAUGGAUGUAAGUAAUUUUCAAAGCUUUUUAAAAAAGAGUUUGUGUUAUCAUGAUCUUUGUGGUGAGAUUAAGGAAAAAUUUUAGAAUGUAACGGGUAUAUUGGUGACGUGACGUAACAAAUCAAUCAAAUAUCUCCUUUUAGAAGUAUAUGUCCCAUCAUGAUUGUAAAAAAAUAUUUUUAUUAUAUUUUUGUUUGAAAAGAAGAAAUGUGAUUGGCUUGUUAUUGAUGACGUGGUGUAAGUGUGAUAGUGUAGAAUUUCUCGAGAUUAAGG
rnacentral:lncRNA from 1 species